UGCAGAUUAUGAAUAACUGACAAUUGUUUGAUGUUCGUACAGUACUGCUAGGAAAAGUCACUUAAAAGACAUUUUUCUAAUGGCUGCCACAAGUUCUGCUGCUCAUGGGCCCUGGGUGCUGUAACCUGGGACCUGGGGAUAAGUUUGGCUGCAGACACUG